CAUGGAGGGUGAGAAUCCCGUUCAUGGUUAAUCUUAAGGAAGCUCUACGAUACGUUUUCCAAGAGUCGAGUUGUUUGGGAUUGCAGCUCAAAAUGGGAGGUAAAUUUCUCCUAAGGCUAAAUAUUGGCGAGAGACCGAUAGCGAACAAGUACCGUGAGGGAAAGAUGAAAAGAACUUUGAAAAGAGAGUUAAACAGUACGUGAAAUUGUUGAAAGGGAAACGAUUGAAGUCAGUCAUACCAACGGGAAAUCAACCUUUUGAGCUUGGUCUCGUGGGUUUUGAAGAGUUUCAAAGCCUUCGGAUUCGCGGGAUUGGGAUCUCUUGGCGUACUUUUUCGUACGGUUAGUCAACAUCGGUUUUGAAUGUCAUAAAAUGACUGGAGGAAUGUAGCUUCGAUCUCGUAUUGAAGUGUUAUAGCCUUUGGUAGAUGUGAUGUUUGAGACCGAGGAUUGCAACGGAUACCCUUCAGGGCUAUUCGUCUGAUCUCUGAUACGUUGCCUUGAUGUUGAAAGCUUGCUUAUGAUGUUAGGGUAUUACGGUCAAAAGGUUAGAACGAAUUACAUUCGUUAAGGAUGUUGACGUAAUGG
rnacentral:rRNA from 1 species